UACGUAGGGAGCAAGCGUUGUCCGGAAUCAUUGGGCGUAAAGCGCGCGUAGGUGGCCCCAUAAGUCCGCUGUGAAAGUCAAAGGCUCAACCUUUGAAAGCCGGUGGAUACUGUGGGACUAGAGUACGGAAGAGGCGAGUGGAAUUCCUGGUGUAGCGGUGGAAUGCGCAGAUAUCAGGAGGAACACCGAUGGCGAAGGCAGCUUACUGGGCCGAUACUGACGCUGAGGAGCGAAAGCGUGGGGAGCGAACAGG
rnacentral:rRNA from 1 species